rnacentral:rRNA from 1 species
UACGGGGGGGGCAAGCGUUGUUCGGAAUUACUGGGCGUAAAGGGCUCGUAGGCGGCCAACUAAGUCAGACGUGAAAUCCCUCGGCUUAACCGGUAACUGCAUCUGAUACUGGAUGGCUUGAGUUCGGGAGAGGGAUGCGGAAUUCCAGGUGUAGCGGUGAAAUGCGUAGAUAUCUGGAAGAACACCGGUGGCGAAGGCGGCAUCCUGGACCGACACUGACGCUGAGGAGCGAAAGCCAGGGGAGCAAACGGG